UUAAAAGUUUGGUCCUGACUUUACUGUCAACUUUAGCUAGGUUUAUACAUGCAAGUCUCCGCACCCCUGUGAAUCAUGCCUAUGCAUCUCCUCCUAGAGAGCAAAGAGCAGGCAUCAGGCACAACUUGUAAGCCCAUGACGCCUCGUCAAGCCACUCCCCCACGGGUACUCAGCAGUAAUAAAUAUUAAGCCAUGAGCGAAAGCUCGACUUAGCCACAAGCCAAGAGGGCCGGUAAACCUCGUGCCAGCCACCGCGGUUAUACGAGGGGCCCGAGCUGACAGUCCCCGGCGUAAAGCGUGGUUAAGGUACACCCCUAAUACAAAUUAAAGUCGAAUGCCCUCAAAGCUGUUAUACGCUCUCGAAGGCAAGAAGCCCACUCACGUAAGUAACUUUAUUAAACUGAACCCACGAAAGCUGCGGCACAAACUGGGAUUAGAAACCCCACUAUGCCCAGCCCUAAACAUUGGUAGCCCUGUACACCCGCUGCCCGCCCGGAUACUACGAGCAUAAGCUUAAAAUCCAAAGGACUUGGCGGUGCUUUAGACCCACCUAGAGGAGCCUGUUCUAAAACCGAUACCCCCCGUUAAACCUCACCCCCCCUUGCACUAUCCGCCUAUAUACCGCCGCCGUCAGCUUACCCUGUGAAGGUUUAGUAGUAAGCAAAAUUGUUUUAACCCAAAACGCCAGGUCGAGGUGUAGCUAAUGGGAGGGGAUGAAAUGGGCUACAUUCCCUAAAUAAGAGAAAACGAACGACUGUCCUGAAACCGCACGUCUGAAGGAGGAUUUAGCAGUAAGCAGAAAAUAGAGUGUUCUGCUGAAACAUCGGCUCUAAAGCGCGCACACACCGCCCGUCACUCUCCCCGAGCUAUAAUACUGAAAAAUUAAUAAUAAGACACAACUGCAAAGGGGAGGCAAGUCGUAACAUGGUAAGUGUACCGGAAAGUGCACUUGGAGAAA
rnacentral:ncRNA from 1 species